UACGUAGGGGGCAAGCGUUGUCCGGAUUCAUUGGGCGUAAAGAGCGUGUAGGCGGCCAGGUAGGUCGGUUGUGAAAACUGGAGGCUCAACCUUCAGAGGUCGACCGAAACCAUCUGGCUAGAGUCCGGGAGAGGAGGGUGGAAUUCCUGGUGUAGCGGUGAAAUGCGCAGAUAUCAGGAAGAACACCCGUGGCGAAAGCGGCUCUCUGGAACGGUACUGACGCUGAGACGCGAAAGCGUGGGGAGCGAACAGG
rnacentral:rRNA from 1 species